AACCCACACAGGAGUCCUGCAUUGGACAACAGCCCUAGUCGAUUGCGACAGGUCCAUCCGGCGAGCUAGUCCAGCAGAACCCUCUGCCACUGCCUCGCCGAACAUGGCGGACAGUGGCGAUCCGCAUCCCGUCCGGGAUGACGCAUCCCCAUUUUCCCUUCGUGUCCCUUCCCUCGCGCCAACGCGCAGCGGGAAGCCGCG
rnacentral:sRNA from 1 species